GAAUAUAUUCCUCACAAAAUUUGGGACACUUUGUUUGGGAGAUUUCGGAAGAGUCAAUGAAAAUGCUUCCCGAUCUGGAUCUUCCGACGAUGGAAUGGUGGGUUAUUUAGGCCCAGAGAUUCUGACUGGUGGAAUUUAUGACACUAAAAGUGAUAUUUGGUCCUUGGGAUGUGUGCUGUAUGAGUUAUGUAUGCUUCAGAGUGCAGUAAGUAAUGCCUCCAUCUCCUUAUUUG